rnacentral:lncRNA from 1 species
GCGUGGGGAGAAGAAGAAGAGAAGUUGAGGGAGAAGAGAAGAAAAGAAGAAGAAGAGGGAAAAGAAGAGAUUAGGAAGAAGAGGGAGAAGAGAAGAAGAAGAAGAAGAAGAGAGGGAAGAUGGAGAGGAGAGAGAGAGAGGCAGCAGCUGCAGCUACGGCUGCAGCACCUCUGUUUCCCGCAGGUGGAAACAGAGGAGAGGAUGUG